GAUGAACGCUGGCGGCGUGCCUAAUACAUGCAAGUCGAGCGAAUGGAUUAAGAGCUUGCUCUUAUGAAGUUAGCGGCGGACGGGUGAGUAACACGUGGGUAACCUGCCCAUAAGACUGGGAUAACUCCGGGAAACCGGGGCUAAUACCGGAUAAUAUUUUGAACUGCAUGGUUCAAAACUGAAAGGCGGCUUCGGCUGUCACUUAUGGAUGGACCCGCGUCGCAUUAGCUAGUUGGUGAGGUAACGGCUCACCAAGGCAACGAUGCGUAGCCGACCUGAGAGGGUGAUCGGCCACACUGGGACUGAGACACGGCCCAGACUCCUACGGGAGGCAGCAGUAGGGAAUCUUCCGCAAUGGACGAAGGUCUGACGGAGCAACGCCGCGUGAGUGAUGAAGGCUUUCGGGUCGUAAAACUCUGUUGUUAGGGAAGAACAAGUGCUAGUUGAAUGAGCUGGCACCUUGACGGUACCUAACCAGAAAGCCACGGCUAACUACGUGCCAGCCGCCGCAGUAA
rnacentral:rRNA from 1 species